rnacentral:lncRNA from 1 species
CUGGUUUUGCAUGGAGAAGCAGAACAUGAUGAAGCAUUUUUCUCCCCCAUUUAAAGAUCCAGUCAUGUUCCAGUUUGCAGGGGCAGAAGGGCUGGUUUGCAGUUGGUGCUGGGAGGAUAGAGUUUCUUCCACAGAAUUAUCUCACUAAAUAACUCUCGCUAAAGCCUAACAAGACUUGUCAUCAAGCCCAUUUUCCGGAGGGAGAAACCGAGACUCCAAGAACUACAGAACCUAUUUCUGUGUCUCAAUACGUAGGCCGGCUCUCCGACUUGACGGAAUCGCUCUGGCAACAGCGCCCUCUAAAGGCGGAGGCGAGUAUGCCUGCGUAACAGUCGUGCCCCGUCCUUUGGCGCUGGAAAUGGCGGAGGGCUCCCUCUGGCUUCUGAGGAUUGUCCAGCGCCCUCCGAGGUCCUGGAGAAGCCAGGAGCGCUGCCUACAACUCGGCCUUGACUUCCCCGCAGCCUUGGUCGCCGCAGCAUUGGGUCAGAGGCAUCCCUGGAGAUUGCAGAAAGUUAGCGGCGGCCCCUGUUGACGCAGCGAGUGACGGCCCGACAUACCCUGAUAGGCCACGGGGAGGGCCAGACGCAGAGCCUUGAAAGAAGGAGCUUGCGCUCUGGAAGGGGCGUGGCCAGCGCUCUUCCUCGAGGGCGGGGCUCUAGGGGAAGGGGCUCUUCUCUGGGAUAUUGUGCCACAAGCGAGGACACCCGUGCACCUAGCCCAGGGCCUGUGUCCUGGCGUCAGCGCAUCUGUGGGCAGCAACUUUACCCUCCCCAGACCUCAGUUUCUGCACCUGUAAGACGGAGGCUCUUCCACAACUGCAAAAAUCGGAGUUUCAUCCAGCAUUCUCAGAAUUCCUGUCUCCAGGCAGGCACUGAGGAAUCAGAGCUGCGUUCCUGUGGAGGCUCAGAGCUCUGAGAUCUCCUUCACUUGCUGCAUCAGUACUCCUGACACUGGAGAGUUCUGGAGGUUGGAGACCAGCCCCUUCCUGGUGGAACAGGCACCCUGUAGCCUGGGAUGUGACAGUCAUAUGACAGGGCCUGUAACAAGUAACAGUGGUAGCCCAAAUAUGUCGAGCACUUACUAUAUGCCUGGCUUUUCAUGAAGUCUGUCGCAUACGUUAUUUACACCCCCACCCGCACAGCCGUGUCUGGUGGUCCUGUUCUUGACAUCCUGUUUACUGAUGAGCCCAGAGUCACACAAUAGUAGCCAGUCCAAGGUCACCCAGCUAAUAAAUGGCUGAAGCAGUAGUCCACAGUCUCAUCCACUGUUCCGUACCAAAAAAAAAUGUUUAACCUGGAAGGGAGAUGGCAGAGGGGGAAAAUUACAAGAUCCUACCAGUGUUAAUCUAUACCACGAGUUGAGCCCUUAGUAUGUGUUGGAUGCUGGCCUACAGAUCAGCACCAUUUAUACUCCUGACAGUGACCUUAUACUAUAGGGUUGUUAUUUCCACUUCUGAGAGGUCAUCUCAUAUGUCUCUGGUCACACUGCUAGUACAAAACUGGAACUUUGAGUUUAAUGGAUGGUACACUCAGCCUGCCUGUAUAUCACUCUUAGGAAGACCCCACUCUUCUCUGAGCCUGUUUCCCGUUCUGCACAAUGAGAGGUUUGGACCAGAAGGCUCUGGACAUUGUUUCCUGAGCUCACAUUCUUUGAUUUUAGGAGCAUUGACAUGAUGUCCAGAGUCCUGGGUUUGUUCCUAAUUAUCUAUGACUUGGGAACGCCUCGGCCUAAUCCCUUGCAUCUCUGGGCCUCAGUUUCCCCCUUUGUAAAAUGUGGAGAUGAAAAGUCUCAAUCACCAAGGGACCUUCUGGCUUUAAUAUUUUAUGACUGCAAAUGAAGAGACAAGCUGAGGUUCAGCAAAUUGUGCAUCCUCUGAGAAAUUCUAAUGAAUGUGAUUCUGCCACCUUGCUCAAAACAUUCCUGGUGCAAGGCUUCCAAGGACAGAUGCCCAUGUAGGUCAAGGGGAACAGCCACCUCCAGAUAAUCAGCAUUAACUGCUGGAGGAGGCUCACUCUCCUGAUGGUCCAAAAUCCACCCCUGUGGUCAGACCAGCUUAAGACUGAAUGCCAGCACUUCCCCCUGGGCACCUCAGAGAAGUGACCCUUUCUGUGCCUUAGUUUCUACAUCUGUAAAAUAGGGUGCUAACAGGACCAGCUUCAUUUGAGAUUUGAUGGAAAAACAUGUGCAAAAAGCCUAACAUGGACAUUCCCUGGUGGCUCAGUGGGUUAAGGACCUGGCAUUGUCACUGUCGUGGCACAGGUUUGAUUCCUGGCCCAGGAACUUCCUCAUGCCAAGGGUACAACCCCAAAAAAAGCCUAACAUGCUACUUCUGGCUUAGGAAAACCCCCAAUAAAUACAACUGUUACC